UCCCCAUUGGCUCAACGGUAAAGAAUCUGCCUGCAGUGCAGAAGACACAGGUUCGAUCCCAGGUGGGGAA
rnacentral:tRNA from 1 species